rnacentral:tRNA from 1 species
GAGGGUAUAGCUCAGUGGUAGACCACAUGCUUAGCAUGCAUGAGGCCAUGGGUUCAAUCCCCAGUACCUCUG